GACGAACGCUGGCGGCGUGCUUAACACAUGCCGGUCGAACGCUGAACCCGCUUCGGUGGGGGAUGAGUGGCGAACGGGUGAGUAACACGUGGGCAACCUGCCCCCGGCUCUGGGAUAACUCCAAGAAAUUGGGGCUAAUACCGGAUGUGACCGCUGGCCGCAUGGUCUGGUGGUGGAAAGGGUUUCCGGCUGGGGAUGGGCCUGCGGCCUAUCAGCUUGUUGGUGGGGUAGUGGCCUACCAAGGCGACGACGGGUAGCCGGCCUGAGAGGGUGACCGGCCACACUGGGACUGAGACACGGCCCAGACUCCUACGGGAGGCAGCAGUGGGGAAUAUUGCGCAAUGGGCGGAAGCCUGACGCAGCGACGCCGCGUGGGGGAUGACGGCCUUCGGGUUGUAAACCUCUUUCAGCAGGGACGAAGCGCAAGUGACGGUACCUGCAGAAGAAGCACCGGCCAACUACGUG
rnacentral:rRNA from 1 species